rnacentral:lncRNA from 1 species
AUGUUCAGAAUUUCUAAUUCAACAAUAAGGUAACAACAGAAAAGCUAACUGAUUGUCUCCAAAACAUCAAGUAUGACAAAAUUGUCUCGCAAAAAUUGCCAGUUCGGCUAUAGAUAGCACCACCAAAACAAGGAGACAUCCCCCUUCAAACUCUAAAGCCUCUGCUAUUUCUUCUUCCCCUAGCUCUCUCAAAUUUCCUACCCUUGGACCUAACAUAUGGUUCCAACAAGCACUGCAAUUUUGUCCUCCUUUCCUUCCAUGAACUUGACAAGCCUGGAGAGUGACAGAGGAGGCUUAUUGAUCUUACUCAUGAACAACCUCUUCAGCAGCACAGCAUUGAACCUGCUGCCUGUCCUCCUCUUCAAAGUUUAGGUACCAAAACUACAUUUUUCUCAUACUUAGGGAGCUGAUUAUGAAAUUACAGCUGUAGUGUAGUCAUUUAUGGCCUAGAACUUGAGAAACUUGGUUGAAGCUCAACCUCCCACAAAGGAUGAGCUUUGUUGUAAGAAAAGCUAAGGUCAGAGCAAGGCUGAACCAGAAUAUAAAGCAAUUGUGCUUUCUUCCUCCCUCUUUGCCUGAGUAUUCUGUCAUACUGCAUUAAUGCUAGCAAUAUUCAUUGACAUCCAGAAGGUAUGAUGAAAUGCUUGUAAAGGAGCAAAUGGCCUUGCAUAUCCCUUUAUCUGCUACUUUUUUUCCCUUCGUUCCUCAUUUUAUCGUGACAAUUAAUAAUUUGCCAUUUUUUUUCUCUAGUUUUGGAUGUUUACAUUUUGAAUUUGUGCGAUACCUGUGUAUUUCUAUAAAAAGAAGAUGCUAAUAUCUUCCUUUUGGCUUUCAGUCACGUUUUAGCUCCACUCUGGUGGUUUUGUAAAACUUUAUCCCUUUCUUGACUAUUCAACUUAUUUUUGAUUUGGUUCAUUGAAUUGUUUUUCUAUGGAGCAAUUUACUAACAAGGAGACGAGAUAAGGUUUGAUUUUGUGGUGUCCACUGUGUCAUAGGAUUUCCUUGUUGUCAGAAGAUUCCAUAUGGUUAUGAGGGCAAUUCUUUUUGUAGAUGUGGCAUUACAAAAUGUACAAACUCUGGGAAGGAUGACAUAUUCGAAGCAUAGGAAAGGACAGGAUGGCUAUUUGCUAAGAAGAUCAAGAGACUUGGUGCAUUGAUCCUCCAGAUGCAUUGAAACAGUGAACUUCGAUUAGCAUAAUGUCACUAGAGCUGUUAAACGAAUCAAACUGUUCGGUAGCUCGGUCCGUUUCGAUUCGUUCGUGUUCGUGAAAGACUCGUUCAAAACCUUAAACGAAUCGUUUGUGUUCGUGAAAGGCUCGUUCAAAACCUUAAACGAACUGAAUUCGAACAAAUUUUUUUGUUCGAUUAAUAAUCGAGCAAACACGAGCACGAGUAUGUUUGUGAGUUUUGACGAACGUUUACGAAUAUGGACAUAAUUGUCAUUUGACAAAUUUUAGGGUUAAUUUUAUGUCUGGACUUU